GAUGAACGCUGACAGAAUGCUUAACACAUGCAAGUCGAUGGGGAAGUGGUGCUUGCACCAUGGCAACCAUGGCGGACGGGUGAGUAACGCGUAAGGGACUUACCUGCAGGACUGGGAUAACAGGGGGAAACUCCUGACAAGACCGGAUAAUGUCAUGGAGCUGCAUGGCUUUAUGAUGAAAGGAGACGCCUGCGGAGAGCCUUGCGUCCUAUUAGCUAGUUGGUGAGGUAAUGGCUCACCAAGGCGAAGAUAGGUAGCCGGCCUGAGAGGGUGGACGGCCACAAGGGGACUGAGAUACGGCCCUUACGCCUACGGGAGGCAGCAGUGGGGAAUAUUGGACAAUGGGGGCAACCCUGAUCCAGCAAUUCUGUGUGCACGAAGAAGGUUUUCGGAUUGUAAAGUGCUUUCAGCAGGGAAGAAGUAAGUGACGGUACCUGCAGAAGAAGCGACGGCUAAAUACGUG
rnacentral:rRNA from 1 species